UACGAAGGGGGCUAGCGUUGCUCGGAAUCACUGGGCGUAAAGGGUGCGUAGGCGGGUCUUUAAGUCAGGGGUGAAAUCCUGGAGCUCAACUCCAGAACUGCCUUUGAUACUGAAGAUCUUGAGUUCGGGAGAGGUGAGUGGAACUGCGAGUGUAGAGGUGAAAUUCGUAGAUAUUGGGAAGAACACCGGUGGCGAAGGCGGCGCUCUGGACCGAGGCUGACGCUGAGGCGCGAAAGCGUGGGGAGCAAACAGG
rnacentral:rRNA from 1 species